GCGCCCAUAGCUUAACGGACAAAGCGACGGUCUUCGGAACCGUGGAUGGGGGUUCGAUUCCCUCUGGGCGCA
rfam:Candidatus Gottesmanbacteria bacterium RIFCSPLOWO2_02_FTLL_38_8 rifcsplowo2_02_scaffold_18457, whole genome shotgun sequence.